UACGUAGGGUGCAAGCGUUACUCGGAUUUAUUGGGCGUAAAGGGCGCGUAGGCGGCCUGUUAAGUCGAACGUGAAAUCCCCGGGCUCAACCCGGGAACUGCGUCCGAUACUGGCAGGCUUGAAUUCGGGAGAGGGAUGCGGAAUUCCAGGUGUAGCGGUGAAAUGCGUAGAUAUCUGGAGGAACACCGGUGGCGAAGGCGGCAUCCUGGACCGAGAUUGACGCUGAGGCGCGAAAGCCAGGGGAGCAAACGGG
rnacentral:rRNA from 1 species